UGAGCUUUACGGUGAUUAUCAAAUUGAUGAGAAGGAGGGUAGGGCUUAAUUCUCUAUUGAGUAAGGUAUACGCACUCUGAAAAUAAAAAUCAACAAUUCAACUUAUGGACUUGGAAAAUGACUAUUAUUAAGUUGGAAGAUGAAUAAAGUUCGUGCUAAACAAAAUGGAUGGGAUGCUAGGAGGCUCUCUAUGUGAAAUUGAGAAGUUGACUCAGGCAUUCAUUUGAGGCUCAACUAUUGACUCUCAUAAACUGACCCUUGUUAGUUGAGAUCAUUGUUGUAGACCGCUUGCUAAUGAUGGUUUGGGUCUUCACAAUUUGAGUAAGCUUAAACUUUUUUUUUGUUCAAACUCUGUUUUAAACUUUUAUAUGAUGUUGGAGUAUUUUGGGUUCAAGUUAUGAGAAGCAAAUACAAUGUUGUUCAUAUGUUUGGUGUUUUCUGUCGAGAGUUUGGAAUGAGGUGAUUCAAAAAGUUCAUUAGUUGGUUAGUAAUGGUCAAUUAUUUUACAACGAAAUAA